rnacentral:rRNA from 1 species
GUCGAACGUGAUUUUCUUCGGAAAUGAAAGUGGCGCACGGGUGAGUAACACGUAGCUUACCUGCCCCGAACACCGGGAUGACGGAUCGAAAGGUCUGCUAAUACCGGAUAAGCUCACAAUGAACAGACAGUCGUGAGAAAAGUUCAGGCGGUUCGGGAGGGGGCUGCGGCCCAUCAGCUAGCUGGCGAGGUAACGGCUCACCAGGGCGACGACGGGUAGGGGACCUGAGAGGGUGAACCCCCACACUGGAACUGAGACACGGUCCAGACUCCUACGGGAGGCAGCAGUGAGGAAUAUUGCUCAAUGGGCGCAAGCCUGAAGCAGCGACGCCGCGUGGGCGACGAAGGUUUUCGGAUCGUAAAGCCCUUUUCUCUGGGACGAGACAGGACGGUACCAGAGGAAAAAGUGUCGGCUAACUACGUGCCAGCAGCCGCGGUAAAACGUAGGACGCAAGCGUUAUCCGGAAUUACUGGGCGUAAAGCGCGUGUAGGCGGAUGGUUAAGUUACUGGUGAAAGCGCCGGGCUAAACUCGGCGAGGUCCGGUAAGACUGGUCAUCUAGAGGGGGUCAGAGGGGUGCGGAAUUCCGGGUGUAGUGGUGAAAUGCGUAGAGAUCCGGAGGAACACCAGAGGCGAAGGCGGCACCCUGGGACCAACCUGACGCUGAGACGCGAAAGCAUGGGGAGCGAACGGGAUUAGAGACCCCGGUAGUCCAUGUCGUAAACGAUGUAGACUAGAUGUGCGGUUCACUACGG